ensembl:lncRNA
CACGAGCUUAUCUUAUUUCUUUGUUUUUUUCCCCCCCCCUCUCAAAGACACCAACAAAAGGCACUGAUUGGGAGCAGACGAAACACAGAAAUUCCACAUUUCGCUGCCUUCUGUGCGGCAGAAGCAGAGACCUUGGGAGGAUCUGCGACAUGCUGGGGCCCAGCCAGACAGUGAGCCUUGGGGGGGGGGGAACAGAUCUGCUGACAUACCGCGUCCUUGGGCUGCUGGGUGGGCGCCGAGCAGGCGGGAUGGGACAGUGCUCCAGGACACUGCAGUCGGCAGGAAGGGAGAUUGGCACGGGGACACCACGCAGUGCCUCGCCACCAGCUUUAAAUCCCCCCUCAACUCUGUAUUUCUUCCCUUCCCUGCAGCACAGCCUCCGCCAGCCCUGCCUGGAAGAGCCGCGCGUUAACCCCAGCCUGGUUUGUAGCAUAGAAAACCGAGAGCAUCCUUUUGGAUAUAAGCAGUGGGACGAGGGGCCAGCACAGCAGGCAUCCCUAUGGAUGGGAGUGGGGAUGGGCUGGUGUGAGGCACAGAGCACACGGGAGGGUCAUGAAGCAGCACGGGGUGAUGGCAGCUGCCAGCAGGGCACGGCACGGCACAGCCCUGCUCUGCACAUCGGUGCGUGCCCCUACACGGACAGGUGGUGCUAGGAAUGCUGCUGAGAUGUUUGCUCACUACGGGGCUGCUGGGAUGGAUCCUGCAACGCGAGCACCUCGUAGGGCACUGCAGCAGCACCAAACCACACUUUAUCAUCAACUCACACAGCACGGGAGCGGCUGCCCCUGGGACCCCCACUUCACCCAGGGAUGGCAUCCCAAAGGCACCUCCCAGCACAUCCCUGCCCAUCCCUCCAUCCCUCCCCAGGACAAUUCCAUGCCUUCGCCACGGCCCUGCAAGGUGCAGCUGUGUGCUCCCAGCAGAAGCAAUGCGCGGCCGCUCCCAUCCCACUCCAUCAACUCCUGUUACAUUGAAAGACAUCUUAAUUAAAGCCUCACAGCCCAACCUGGCAGAGGCCGGUGGGUCACGAAAAGGCAAAGGAUAAUUAAAUGAACCAUCCAAAUUCACCCCCCCGAGCACAGGGGAGUCACAUUUGGUAGCAAUGCAGAACGCCUCCAAAAAGACGUGUCGAAACAGGAGCUGCAAAGAGCAGAGCAAACCCCGAGCAGCACAGGCGUGAGUUAUGGAUGUUCAUCUGGUCAAGAACUGCAGAACCACUGAACCUCCUCCAGGGCACCUAAAUUGGGGCUCCCCCAGCUGCACAUGGAACAAGCACGAGUCCUGCAAACCCACCCCGAGCUCGCUGUUUGCACACACAGACUGCCAGCCCAGUGCCAAUCAGCACUACCCAAACACGCACAAAGCCCUUGGUGUGCAUUAACCCGCAGCGUGCCGCUCCCAGACAGACGAUGAGGGCACGGCUCUCCUGCCCAGCCCAGCAAACAGAGGGAGUGCUGCCCCGUGCCCUGGUGUCUGUGGGGUCGGGAAGCGCUGAUGUGGAGCAGGGCCAGCACCGGGCCUAACCACGGGGCAACGUGCCCUCCUGCUCCCCAAAAGACACUUCUCAAUACCGCCCCAACACACAGUGACCACCUGUGGGCUCUCUGCUAAUUCUCACGUUCUGAGCGGCCUCAGGAGAGGAGAGCGAAGCCGUGCAUUUCAGUUCCCCAUUCCUGAAGCAAACUCUUCCACUUCCAGGACAGCUGCAGAAAACGGAGCUCACUUCUGCUUUCUGCACGGAGAGAUGUGCAGGGGACGGUCACAGCGCCCGGCCCCUCCGGGCAGGCAGCAAAGGGCUGACAGGGCAAUGGAUGCAACCCAAGCGGUGCCUCCCACCCAUGUGCCACUCGCGGCGAUCUCGCAGCCCGCAGCGAGGCUAGCAGCUCCACGGGCAGCGGCAGGAAGGGGUGAGGAACACGUGGCAGACAGAAAAGCUCCAGAUACGAGCAAGUCGCAGCCACCCCGGCCGUGCUGGC